rnacentral:rRNA from 1 species
CCGUGUCCCCUAGUAUAAGCUUUCAGUUGGGGCAACUACGGAGCAAAACAAAAACUCCACGACAAACGCCUAACACGCGCAAACCCCAGGCCGCCAAGCCGAACAUAUCUCGCCCAGAUCCAGUCCGACUGAGCAACGAACCAAGUUACCCUAGGGAUAACAGCGCCAUCUUCCCCCAAGAGCCCAUAUCCACGGGGAGGCUUACGACCUCGAUGUUGGAUCAGGACCCCCCGGCGGUGCAGCCGCUGCCAAAGGUUCGUUUGUUCAACGACUAACGUCCU